AAACUUGAGAGUUUGAUCCUGGCUCAGAACGAACGCUGGCGGCAGGCCUAACACAUGCAAGUCGAACGAAGCCCCUCUUCGGAGGUCAGCUUAGUGGCGCACGGGUGAGUAACACGUGGGAACGUACCCUUAGGUGCAGGACAACAGUUGGAAACGACUGCUAAUACUGCAUAAUAACUCCGGUUCAAAGAAUUUCGCCUAAGGAUCGGCCCGCGUCUGAUUAGCUAGUUGGUGGGGUAAUGGCCUACCAAGGCGACGAUCAGUAGCUGUUCUGAGAGGAUGAUCAGCCACACUGGUACUGAGACACGGACCAGACUCCUACGGGAGGCAGCAGUGAGGAAUAUUGGACAAUGGGGGCAACCCUGAUCCAGCCAUGCCGCGUGAGUGAAGAAGGCCUUAGGGUUGUAAAGCUCUUUCAGAUGUGAAGAUGAUGACGGUAACAUCAGAAGAAGCUCCGGCUAACUUCGUGCCAGCAGCCGCGGUAAUACGAAGGGAGCGAGCGUUGUUCGGAAUCACUGGGCGUAAAGCGUGCGUAGGCGGAUAAGAAAGUCAGAAGUGAAAUCCCGGGGCUCAACCCCGGAACUGCUUUUGAAACUCCUUGUCUAGAGUAUGGUAGAGGAUAACGGAAUUCCGAGUGUAGAGGUGAAAUUCGCAGAUAUUCGGAGGAACACCAGUUGCGAAGGCGGUUAUCUGGGCCAUUACUGACGCUGAGGUACGAAAGCGUGGGGAGCAAACAGGAUUAGAUACCCUGGUAGUCCACGCCGUAAACGAUGUAUGCUAGUUGUCGGGGGUUCUGCCUUCGGUGACGGAGUUAACGCAUUAAGCACACCGCCUGGGGAGUACGGUCGCAAGAUUAAAACUCAAAGGAAUUGACGGGGACCCGCACAAGCGGUGGAGCAUGUUGUUUAAUUCGACGCAACGCGAAGAACCUUACCCACACUUGACAUCCUUCUUUGGGCUUUCAGAGAUGAUUGCUUUCGGUUCGGCCGGGGAAGUGACAGGUGCUGCAUGGCUGUCGUCAGCUCGUGUCGUGAGAUGUUAGGUUAAGUCCUGCAACGAGCGCAACCCUUAUCGUCUGUUGCUACCAUUUAGUUGGGCACUCUGACGAGACUGCCGGUGAUAAGCCGGAGGAAGGUGGGGACGACGUCAAGUCAUCAUGGCCCUUACGUGUGGGGCUACAAACGUGCUACAAUGGCUACUACAAUGGGUUGCGAGGUCGCGAGGCCAAGCUAAUCUCU
rnacentral:rRNA from 1 species